UCAAAGCAACACUCAGGGUGGAAAAUUUGCUGCUAAUCCCUCAGGUUUCUGUAAGUGUUUUAUCAACCAGAGAUUCUUCACCAGAUGACACCGGAGAUAAGGCGGAGGGAAAGACUCUACGUGAUGCCGGACGCAUAAUCCCGGCCAGAAGCAGAGAAAGGUGAAGAGGGGUGACACGCAGCGGUGGUGAGGGUGGUGUUUGUGGCCCUACAGCAGUCUGCCUGAUUACAUCGCCACACAAGCGUGUCUUCAAAGCCUUCCCCUCCCCACCGCCCAGUUUGACCAGAUAAGGGCCCCCUCUCGCUGUGGUUCAGCUGGGGGACAGGAAGACACACGAAGGGGUCAACAGUAGUGCCAUCUGCGCCUCAUGUUCAGCAAAUACUGCACAUCUCUGUCAACAGACCGUCUUACUGUACAAACACUUCCUCUGGUGAUCCUGCAGCCGGUUUGUUUGAUCGCUCCUGUAAGUUUUACCAGGUUGUUUUGAUUAAAACGACUUCAUUUUGAGCAACGAAGCCGGUGAUUAAAACUCUGAAGCCGUCUAUAAUUUCUUUACAUUUUUCUUCCAGGCAAACAGACUUUCUUGUAAUCUUUAAAGGGGCGGUAUUAUGCGUUUUCCAAGUACAUAGAGCCGCUAACAUAAAUCAACAUAACAUAAAUCAAGUAACCACAUUAGCUUCAUUUGGUAUAAAAAUGCUACAUAUAUCAAAUAAAUAUGACUUUGUAAUUUAAUGCCUUGAAAUUGGGUCUCUGUCUCUUUAAGAAGCUCCUGCUCUUUCUUAAACUCCGCCUUCAUAAAGUCAUCAUAACAUGGCUCCUUAAUUAGCCCUUUAACGACGUUUUAACCAGUAGCUCCUAUAAGGAGCUCAGCUGAUGUUCCACCAGAUGUUUGCUGAUUCCUGUUGGCUAGUCUGAAGGAGCUAAGUGGGGGAG